rnacentral:rRNA from 1 species
CCUACGGGUGGCAGCAGUGGGGAAUAUUGGACAAUGGGCGAAAGCCUGAUCCAGCCAUGCCGCGUGUGUGAAGAAGGCCUUCGGGUUGUAAAGCACUUUCAGUGGGGAAGAAAGCCUUGGGGCUAAUACCCUCGAGGAAGGACAUCACCCACAGAAGAAGCACCGGCUAACUCCGUGCCAGCAGCCGCGGUAAUAGGAGGGUGCGAGCGUUAAUCGGAAUUACUGGGCGUAAAGCGCGCGUAGGCGGUCUGAUAAGCCGGUUGUGAAAGCCCCGGGCUCAACCUGGGAACGGCAUCCGGAACUGUCAGGCUAGGGUGCAGGAGAGGAAGGUAGAAUUCCCGGUGUAGCGGUGAAAUGCGUAGAGAUCGGGAGGAAUACCUGUGGCGAAGGCGGCCUUCUGGACUGACACUGACGCUGAGGUGCGAAAGCGUGGGUAGCAAACAGGAUUAGAUACCCGGUAGUC